rnacentral:rRNA from 1 species
GGAUGGGCAGGCGUGACAUUAGCUAGUUGGUAAGGUAACGGCCUACCAAGGCUACGAUGGCUAGGGGGUCUGAGAGGAUGAUCCCCCACACUGGUACUGAGACACGGACCAGACUCCUACGGGAGGCAGCAGUGAGGAAUAUUGGUCAAUGGGCGGAAGCCUGAACCAGCCAUGCCGCGUGCAGGAAGACGGCCCUACGGGUUGUAAACUGCUUUUCCCCGGGAAGAAUAAGGUCUAUGCGUAAGAAGAAUGACGGUACCGUAGGAAUAAGCACCGGCUAACUCCGUGCCAGCAGCCGCGGUAAUACGGAGGGUGCAAGCGUUAUCCGGAUUUAUUGGGUUUAAAGGGUGCGUAGGCGGUCUAUUAAGUCAGCGGUGAAAGUUUUCAGCUUAACUGGAAAAAUGCCGUUGAUACUGAUAGGCUAGAAUAUGGUUGCUGUGGGUGGAAUUCCUAGUGUAGCGGUGAAAUGCUUAGAUAUCACACAGAAUAUCAAUUGCGAAGGCAGCUCACAAAGCCAUUAUUGACGCUGAGGCACGAAAGUGUGGGGAUCAAACAGGAUUAGAUACCCUGGUAGUCCACACCGUAAACGAUGAUAACUCGCUGUCGGCGAUAAACAGUCGGUAGCCAAGCGAAAGCGAUAAGUUAUCCACCUGGGGAGUACGACCGCAAGGUUGAAACUCAAAGGAAUUGACGGGGGCCCGCACAAGCGGAGGAACAUGUGGUUUAAUUCGAUGAUACGCGAGGAACCUUACCCGGGCUCGAACGGUGCAGGAAUAUGUCAGAGAUGUCAUAGCUAGCAAUAGUCUGUAUCGAGGUGCUGCAUGGUUGUCGUCAGCUCGUGCCGUGAGGUGUCGGCUUAAGUGCCAUAACGAGCGCAACCCUUGUCGUUAGUUACCAUCAAGUAAUGUUGGGGACUCUAGCGAGACUGCCACCGUAAGGUGUGAGGAAGGGGGGGAUGACGUCAAAUCAGCACGGCCCUUACGUCCGGGGCGACACACGUACUACAAUGGUAGGUACAGAGGGCAGCUACCCAGCGAUGGGAUGCGAAUCUCUAAAACCUAUCUCAGUUCGGAUUGCAGGCUGCAACUCGACUCCAUGAAGUUGGAUUCGCUAGUAAUCGCGCAUCAGCCAUGGCGCGGUGAAUACGUUCCCGGGCCU